AGCAGCCGCGGUAAUUCCAGCUCCAAUAGCGUAUAUUAAAGUUGUUGCAGUUAAAAAGCUCGUAGUUGAAUUUCGGGGUCAGUAGGUCGGUCGUGCCACUGGUAUGAACUGGUUUUACUGAUUCCUCCCUCUUGAAGAACUGUAAUGCCAUUAAUUUGGUGUUGCAGGGAAUCAGGACUGUUACUUUGAAAAAAUUAGAGUGUUUAAAGCAGGCUUUAGCUUGAAUACAUUAGCAUGGAAUAAUGAAAUAGGACGUUUGAUCCUAUUUUGUUGGUUUCUAGGAUUGACGUAAUGAUUAAUAGGGAUAGUUGGGGGCAUUAGUAUUCAAUUGUCAGAGGUGAAAUUCUUGGAUUUAUUGAAGACUAACUACUGCGAAAGCAUUUGCCAAGGAUGUUUUCAUUAAUCAAGAACGAAAGUUAGGGGAUCGAAGACGAUCAGAUACCGUCGUAGUCUUAACCAUAAACUAUGCCGACUAGGGAUCGGAUGAUGUUAAUUUUUUAAUGACU
rnacentral:rRNA from 1 species